rnacentral:lncRNA from 1 species
UCAAAUUUCAGAAGCUGGGAAUUGAAACAAAAAUUUAACCUCGAUUUCAAUACAGAAUUAUCGCCAAAAUGAGAUUUUUAUACAGAAAAACAAAUCCAAAUUUCUUUGGAAUUCGGAAUUGCAAAACAAAACUUAAUUCAUCCGGGAUUCAGCAAUUUAAUCAGAAUCGGAAUACUCAAAUCCAAAUUUCUCUGGGAUUAGGAGCCCC